rnacentral:lncRNA from 1 species
GGCUUGCAGUGCUCUUGGCAGACAUGAGGCAACGAUUGCUCCCGUCCGUCACCAGCCUUCUCCUUGUGGCCCUGCUGUUUCCAGGAUCGUCUCAAGCCAGACAUGUGAACCACUCAGCCACUGAGGCUCUCGGAGAACUCAGGGAAAGAGCCCCUGGGCAAGGCACAAACGGGUUUCAGCUGCUACGCCACGCAGUGAAACGGGACCUCUUACCACCGCGCACCCCACCUUACCAAGGGACAGGCCAGCAGCACAGACAACGCUGUGGAUAAGGAGAGUAGAGACUUCCUCUUCCUGCCUCCUGUCUUCUGGAGUUGUGACCGCAGGGUGGCCCAGGUGGAUCGGCUUCAGAGGCCAGGAGGCAGCUCUCUGCAGCCGAAGAGCAGGAGCCUCACCCACGGUCUGUGGCUCUGACUAAGCCUGGACUGCCUCUCGGCUGUGCUCCGUGGACUGGCUCCCCAGGGAUCCAUGUGAGAGACCGGAGUAUGAUCCUCAGUGCGAGGACAAAUAAAAGUAGUGAUUAUGUCCACCCCA